rnacentral:rRNA from 1 species
AUUGAACGCUGGCGGCAUGCUUUACACAUGCAAGUCGAACGGAUUUUGGAGCUUGCUCCAGAGUUAGUGGCGAACGGGUGAGUAAUAUAUCGGAACGUACCCGGCAAUGGGGGAUAACGUAGCGAAAGUUACGCUAAUACCGCAUAUGCCCUGAGGGGGAAAGCAGGGGACCAGUAAUGGCCUUGAGUUGUCGGAGCGGCCGAUAUCGGAUUAGCUAGUUGGUGAGGUAAAGGCUCACCAAGGCGACGAUCCGUAGCGGGUCUGAGAGGAUGAUCCGCCACACUGGGACUGAGACACGGCCCAGACUCCUACGGGAGGCAGCAGUGGGGAAUUUUGGACAAUGGGCGAAAGCCUGAUCCAGCCAUGCCGCGUGAGUGAAGAAGGCCUUCGGGUUGUAAAGCUCUUUCAGGUGGAAAGAAAAGGUUACGGAUAAUACCUGUAACUGAUGACGGUACCAUCAGAAGAAGCACCGGCUAACUACGUGCCAGCCGCCGCAGUAA